rnacentral:rRNA from 1 species
GUGAGGAAUAUUGCGCAAUGGAGGCAACUCUGACGCAGCCAUGUCGCGUGCAGGAAGAAGGCGCUACGCGUUGUAAACUGCUUUUAACCGGGAAGAAACCCCAGGACGUGUCCUGGGUUGACGGUACCGGAGGAAUAAGCACCGGCUAACUUCGUGCCAGCAGCCGCGGUAAUACGAAGGGUGCAAGCGUUAUCCGGAUUCAUUGGGUUUAAAGGGUGCGUAGGCGGAGCGUUAAGUCAGUGGUGAAAUCCUGCAGCUUAACUGUAGGCUUGCCAUUGAUACUGGCGCUCUUGAGUGCGCUUGAAGUGGGCGGAAUGUGCCGUGUAGCGGUGAAAUGCUUAGAUAUGGCACAGAACACCAAUUGCGAAGGCAGCUCACUAAGGCGAUACUGACGCUGAGGCACGAAAGCGUGGGGAUCGAACAGGAUUAGAUACCCGGGUAGUCC